CAGGUGUUCCUCUCACUAGAUUAAUGCUGCAUGAAGAGGGCUGUGUAAAGACAUAGGUACACAAGUUCUACAUUGGUUGCAAUUAUACAAAUGCACACAAUUCAGCAUAGGUUGCAAAUAUGUGUUAAUGUCAUUUUGUUCAAUAUGAUAGUGUUGACGUUAAGAUUUGAGGGUAUAUGUAAAAAAAAAAAAUGCUUUGAAGAUUUAUGUUACAUACAUUAUAGCAUGGUGUGCAGUGGGGGCUUUUUUAAAGACACUCGAAGCUUUUAGGGAGGGGGACAUUAGGAAGUAGGAGUUGAACAGAGGACUGCUCAUUUUUGCCUUUUAAUAUCUUGACAAAGCAGUACAAUUGCAUGUAUGUGAAGAAAACCAUAUAUUUUCCCAAGAAUAUCAUUAAAAAGUACCGUUAGCUUAUAAUUAAAAGCCUGGUGAUUUUUAGGUCCAGUAGAUGUAAUGCAUGAUAUGAUGAUUAGGCAAAGCUUGGAAAAUAGAUUGCUUUGUUUAUGCUUGUGUUUUAUUUUUGUUUUUUCCCACUUUCCAAUGGAUGCUGAUUUAUCAACAGGAGGUUAGUAUUUUACAUAACUGGAGCCUGCUUAUUCAUGUCUUGUGAUGGUCUACUAACUCCUUUCUUCAAUGUCUUAUUCUGAAAAUCUUUAACCUUAGCUAUAAUCAUAUUGAUUUUUACUACAAUGGGUAAAGGGAGAGCUUUUCACAUGUUCCUUUUUUUCGUGUUUCAUUUACUGUGGAAUCAUUAAAAUUGGGGGGGGGGGCAGUUUUUUGUGGAUUUCUAAAAUUUUAUAGGUUUGUGGGGAUGUAAUUCUGUGUAUUUUCUUAUAUCUACAAAAAGGAAUAUGACUUUAUAACAUAAAUGUAUUAAUUCAUGGAGGAUCUUUAUUUGUUGUUAAGAGGUACCCACAAACUCCACAAAAAUAGAGUAGCCAUGAAAUCUAAUAAUUCCACAGUAUUUCAUGUUUUGUGUUGUAGCAAAAUAUAUCUAAAAUUUGCAGAUAUAAAUUUUAAUUUGGUUGUUUCUAAUUAAAAACUUUAUUUUUUUACAUCAUUAAUAAAGAAAAAUAACUCAGUAAUCUAUAUUACUUUUUGUUGGAAACAGAAUAAAAAGGUUUGGGAGAUGGGUGAAAAUUGUUUGAUUUUUAAGUCUUUAAUAUUGAUAUUUUUUUUCAUAAUCUAUAUUGGGCAUUUAUUUAUGGAGAGGGUGCAAUGUUGUGAAAAUGAAUGCAAUAAACAAUACCAGUUAAGAAUUUGUCAAACUUAAUAUUUAUUGUUUAUAUCAUUCUCAAAAAGAGCAGCUCAAGUUAAUUCAGAACCCAGUUGCAAGAUGCUUAGAUUUUAAAGUCUGAUCAGAAAAUCCUGUCUCAAAAUCACUAGGUUCACAUCUACAUUAUUAAAGAGCAUUAUCAUCGUCUAUCGGCCAAUCUGUGGAAUCUCAUUUCUUCACAUUUCUGGUUAUAGUACGCAAUUUAGGGCAUAUCAUCUAAUAAUGAACAUUAGAACAGAGAAUGGUUGUCUUGCUCACUCAACUAAAAAGAGUUAGAAACUUUAAAUGUGGUGAUUUUCAAUGAUUACUUGUAA